GCCAUUAGUAAUGGUCUCUUCCUGAAUGA
rnacentral:piRNA from 1 species